AUUUCCAUAACUUCAGAGAGAGCACGCCAUGGUGGCGGAAAUCGUCGGCCAAAUCAGAGAGGCUGCAUACGAAGCCGAAGACAUCAUCGACACCUAUGUGGCGGACAUGAUUCGACGUCGAAAGAUGAACCUGUUGGAGAAGGUGGUCAUCGAGGCCAUGCUUGAUUUCAACCUGAGUGAUGCCAUGCUUGAUUUCAGAUUAGGACUCAGCUGCAGAGGUUUAAAGGCCAAGGAUUUUGAUGCAACCCUUUUAACAAUAAAGAACUUUGAAGUUCUUACUCUGUGUAAAUGGACUUUUGAGGUAUGCCAUGCUCGUUUAAUUGCAAUUUUUUGAUAUUUUUUUCUAUACAUUGAGAAAUCACAUGGGUUGAACCUCUACCUAGUACUUCUAUGCAAAAUUCUGUCACUUGACAUAUUCUUAUGACAUUAAUAUGGUGUGAUAUGGUCAGGGGUUUCAUAGUGCCAAUCCCUUAAAUGAAUAUUAGAAUUUCGAGAUAUUAGUUUCUGACUUUUGAUUAAAUGAUAAUCGGGUACAUCCUGAAAAAGCAUGUUCAAGAUGUCUCAUUUUCUUUUAUGAUGUGAAGUAUGAACAAUUUAACUCCAAAAAGGUUCUCUUUUGUAGGAAUUUUCUUUUUUCACUAACUGAUGUGCAGAAUGAUCCUGAAAGUUAUUUGGCUGGAGGGUCCAAUUCAUGUGUAGUGAAAGGGACUAAAUGCACAGGAAUGGAACAUCUUAAAGUGAUAAAGUUUAUGGGGUUUUCAAGUCGAAGAGAUGAAGUCUCCCUGGCUAAAUGUUUGAUUCAUAUGAUCAAGGGAAAGCCUCCAAAGAUAAAGACUUCAGAUGGGAAUUGCUUGGAUGCAAUGUUUGUCGAGUGAUUUUUACAUCAAUCACAGCUAAUCAAGAUUUCCUGCGAGUACCUAACAAAGGAAAAUUAUGAACAAGUCAUGUACUAAGCAUGUAUGCAAGAUAUUAUAAAUAGGAAUACAUUUGUUUCUUGUCUCCUACUGCCUCUUUAAGUAGUCUUGAAGCAGGAAUAUUUAUGGAUUAAAUUGAUUCAUAUUUAAAGAAUAAAAGCAAGUGAUCAUGUAAUCAUUUUUUUAAUGAUGUCAUCCAAUUGAUUUGAUUCAAAAUAUAUGCUUGCAAUAUUGCUUGGAAUUGACUAGCAUUCUAAAUGAAACAAUAGAGAUUUAACUUAAGUUUUUGUAUUCAAGUUUGUAUGUGUUUGGUUUAUGAAAUAUUUAUGGUUAUGUUGCUCAUAUGAUAAUGUGAUAGUCUCUAAAAUUAUUAAAAUAUCAAUGGUCUGCAUUGAGCAACCCUUGUGAUAAAUGGUUGAAAGACAACAAGAUAAAUUCUAAGAUCAAAUGGAGUUUUGUAUAAGUUGAAGCAAGCACCAAAGACUUUCUCAAGUAUUCGCUUGAUGUGUUAACAAUAAUGAAGAUAUUUGGAUUGCUUUUGACACUAACAAUAAUCCAAGGUUUGAUUCAAGAGAGUUCACGAAAACCCUGUCACUUGGGGGUUUGAAAUUACUAACAUACGGCUCAAGACAUAUAACUACUAUUUUAACACAUAUAGAUAGCAGGAUGAAAUUAUGACAAUAAAUCUUAGAUAUAUUGAUCAACAUCUUUCAAUCAUCUAAUAGAUUAAUUUUCAAAUGAGACGUACAACAAGAGAAUUAUCAUAAAAGUUAAAAUAUAUUUUUCUUUUCUGAUAAAUAUAAAAAAUAUUUAAAAUUCAUUCCUCUCAAAUUUCCAAUUCAUUUUUUAUCUUCACAAAAUUAAAAUAUAUUAUUUUUUAAUCAAGAAUAAGACUUACGUGCAUUACUUUUUUCACAUAAAUUAUGUAUAAAACCAAUGAUACACUAAUUACAUAGUAUAAUCUUUGAAAGGUACUUAUGAACCUUCCAGGUAAUACACCUCUUAAGUCUUAAAGGUAUUAACUUACAGCACCCAAACGAGACUAGGCACCUUCGAUGACUAGGAAUAGUUGCUUUUAAGAUCAGUGCACUGUCAUUGCCAAACAUUCAUUCAUUCAUUUCCAUAACUUCUAAAAUCUGCAGCUAGCUAGCAAAAAUGGCGGAUGCAAUUGUGAACUUCUUGGCAGAGAAGUUGACGAGGCUGCUUGAGGAGGAAGCCAAGCUUCUCACCGAGGUGCAUGACAACGUGACCUCGUUGCACGACGAGCUUAAGAUAUUGAACCUCUUCCUCAAAGAGACCCAAGGGACCAAGCAGAGAGAGCACGGACUGGUGGCGGAAAUGGUCGGCCAAAUCAGAGACGCUGCAUACCAAGCCGAAGACAUCAUCGACACCUAUGUGGCGGACAUGAUUCGACGUCGAAAGAUGAACCGGUUGGAGAAGGUGGUCAUCGGCAGUGUCAAUCACGCGCUCAUGCUUCACAAAGUGGCCGUCAAGAUAGGCGACAUCAAGACAAGAAUCGACAAU
rnacentral:lncRNA from 1 species